UCCCUCGUAGUUCAGUUGGUAGAACGGCGGACUGUUAAUCCGUAUGUCACAGGUUCAAGUCCUGUCGAGGGAGCCA
rnacentral:tRNA from 1 species